CCUACGGGAGGCAGCAGUGAGGAAUAUUGGUCAAUGGGCGAGAGCCUGAACCAGCCAAGUCGCGUGAGGGAGUACUGCCCUAUGGGUUGUAAACCUCUUUUGUCGGGGAGCAAAAGCCGGACGUGUCCGGCUGUGAGAGUACCCGCAGAAAAAGCAUCGGCUAACUCCGUGCCAGCAGCCGCGGUAAUACGGAGGCUGCGAGCGUUAUCCGGAUUUAUUGGGGUUAAAGGGUGCGCAGGCGGAUUUUUAAGUCAGCGGUCAAAUCGUGGGGCUCAACCCCAUCCAGCCGUUGAAACUGGGGAUCUAGAGUGUGCGAGAGGUAUGCGGAAUGCGUGGUGUAGCGGUGAAAUGCAUAGAUAUCACGCAGAACCCCGAUUGCGAAGGCAGCAUACCGGUGCACAACUGACGCUCAGGCACGAAAGCGUGGGUAUCGAACAGGAUUAGAUACCCUUGUAGUC
rnacentral:rRNA from 1 species